rnacentral:rRNA from 1 species
GACGAACGCUGGCGGCGUGCUUAACACAUGCAAGUCGAACGGAAAGGCCUGCUUUCCCUUGUGGAUUGCGGGUACUCGAGUGGCGAACGGGUGAGUAACACGUGAGUGAUCUGCCCCCAACUUGGGUAUAAGCCUGGGAAACUGGGUCUAAUUCCCGAUAGGACUGCAGGGUGGUGCCUGUGGUGGAAAACGAUUUUCUAGUGGUUGGGGAUGAGCUCGCGGCCUAUCAGCUUGUUGGUGGGGUAAUGGCCUACCAAGGCGGCGACGGGUAGCCGGCCUGAGAGUGUGGACCGCGUCAGUGAGACUGAGCAGCGGCCCAGACUCCGAGGGGAGGCAGCAGCUGGGAAGAGAAGAAGAAGGGGGGAAGCCUGAGGCAGCGACGCAGCGUGGACGCUGACGGGCCGCGGGUUGUAUGCACCUUUCGGGCGCGAGGAAUCCUCCUGGUUGGGAGGGUGGUGACGGUAGUGGUAGAAGAAGCACCGGCUAACUACGUG